rnacentral:rRNA from 1 species
UACAGAGGGGCAAGCGUUGUUCGGAAUUACUGGGCGUAAAGGGCGCGUAGGUGCCGCUUCUAAGUCGAACGUGAAAUCCCUGGGCUCAACCCAGGAACUGCGUCCAUACUGGGAGGCUUGAAUCCGGGAGAGGGAUGCGGAAUUCCAGGUGUAGCGGUGAAAUGCGUAGAUAUCUGGAGGAACACCGGUGGCGAAGGCGGCAUCCUGGACCGGUAUUGA